AAUUGCAGGAAGUAUCUCCCUACAUGAGCAAGAGAGGAUGAGGUGGAGAGGGAGUAAGAUCACUAGAAAGGAGGAUGCUGGCAGACCACCAAAGGACCCUAGAGUUUGAAGCACGUCCCCAACACCCAGACAGAUCUAAAGAACUUGGGAACUGCCCAACCACCAGGAACAUCUUGUGUUCUUGGUGUUCAUUCACAAGGCCCUGAUCUCCGUGAUCUGCGUGAAGAGGAGGCGGAGAAAGAGGGGUGGGCUGCCUCCUGAGAUAUCGUAGGCGAUCGAAUAAACCCCCCAUUUCCCUCCUUUCUGCUCGCAAAUGUGAAAUCCUUGGAGAAUAGAAUUGAUUUGAUAUCUGAUUUCCAGGAGCCUAGUGGAGAUGGCAGGACAUGGAGUAUGGUUGCUACCCAUAGGAACAUGGAGCAGGAACAUGGAGCUCUCCAUGUCAGUGUCUGUGCUACAGAGAAUAUUCCAAGGACCCCCAGAGGCUUCAGAUCAACUACUCUCCAGAGCACAAAGAAGGAGCUCGUGAAUCUUCUCAACACCCAGAGACAUUUCAAAUAAAUUCUUCAUUGGCCUGUCAUAAUGCCUUUCCACUCCCAUCAACACCAGUAAGAGACUCUCGUGAUCCACUAUGAAAUGGCCUCAUUGUGCGGGGCAUGAAAGAUUUCUCCAGCUCCAUCUCCGGGAGAGCGCUCUGAACUGUGAAUUCCUCUUUCAGACAUCCAAAGACCCGGAGCAAUGGGCCGCCAGCACUGUUGAUGCACUCAGUUGCUUCACGUGUCUAAAACUGUCUGACAUGUUUAGGUUCGCCAUACCUUUGCUCAAUAUCUGGGUGAUAUUUCCCUGGCAACCGUGAGGUUAUGCCCAUUGGUUUAAGCAAGACCAAUGAUUAAAACGCUAAUGUUCUAACUUUGAAGUAUGAAUAUUCUGAUGAGUUGAUCAUGGGAGACAAUUCUAUAACAAUCUCAUGUGAUGUCUGGGCUGAUGCUUAUCUUCUAUUGGUUGGACUCCUCUCUAUCUAAUCUGCAUCUACUGGAAAGUUGCAGAUGUAAAGACAGAACACAACAGAACCAAAAGGAUACUUUACUCAGACUUGACUUUUAGGUUAUUACACUUGUAAUCUCCAAGGACUCUCUACUCUACUCUCUACUCUUCUCAGGACUACUGGGAUGACUUCACAGAGUAUUGCUUUACUCACCUCAUUCUCAAGACAGGCACGGACUAAACAUACACCUUACCUGACCUGGCAGCAUGGUUGUACAGAAAGUCCCAGGCUAAUGGCCCCGUUUAUAUCAUGACAUAUUUAAUUACGUCGUACAUCAUCUUCACGGAGUCUUGCCCCACUACUGAAUAGACAAGUGGAGUGUUUGU